rnacentral:rRNA from 1 species
UGGGGAAUAUUGGGCAAUGGACGAAAGUCUGACCCAGCGACGCCGCGUGAGGGAAGAAGGUCUUCGGAUUGUAAACCUCUGUUGACAGGGAAGAAGGAAGUGACGGUACCUGUCGAGGAAGCCACGGCUAACUACGUGCCAGCAGCCGCGGUAAUACGUAGGUGGCAAGCGUUAUCCGGAAUUACUGGGUGUAAAGGGUGUGUAGGCGGGACUGCAAGUCAGAUGUGAAAACUAUUGGCUUAACCAAUAGCCUGCAUUUGAAACUGUGGUUCUUGAGUGUCGGAGAGGUAAAUGGAAUUCCCGGUGUAGCGGUGAAAUGCGUAGAUAUUAGGAGGAACACCAGUGGCGAAGGCGGAUUGCUGGACAGCAACUGACGGUGAGGCGCGAAAGUGUGGGGAGCAAACAGGAUUAGAUACCCUGGUAGU